rnacentral:tRNA from 1 species
GCCCCCGUAGCUCAACGGAUAGAGCAUCGGACUUCUAAUCCGACGGCUGCAGGUUCGAAUCCUGUCGGGGGCG